AAAAAGACAAACUCUGGAUUUCUGUGUCCAACUUUGAUUGUCCGUUUUAUAUGAAAUUUUUUUAUAAUUCGUAUUUUUAUUGUUGUUAGAUGAUAAAAUAUGAUUAAUAUUUUAUACGUGACUUGUCUUUUUAAUUUUUUUUCAUAUUUUUUCAAAUAAGACGGAUAGUCAAACGUUAGACAUGGAAAUCAGGGUUUGAAUUUUU
rnacentral:pre_miRNA from 1 species